GUCUGUGUGUGAUUCAUGAGUGCAGUCUAUAAUUGAACUAAUGAAAAAGUGUGAGAAACAUUUCCAAGUGCAUAAAUAUACAUGAGUCUAGUCAGCAUUUUCAUUAUCAAUAACUGGAGUAGUGGGUUUGACUCAUGCUCUCUGCCUUAUUCUAAAGUUCAUCCUCCAAACUAACCCGUUUUGCACUAUAAAUUUACCUACACUUUAUCC
rnacentral:lncRNA from 1 species